UACCUAGGGUCCCUUAAGGUAGUACCUCAAGGCCACUGAGGUAGUACCUAAGGGCCCUUAAGGUAGUACCUAAGCUAUAGUCUGAAAAAACCAUUGGUGGACCUCUUCAACACUGUAGAGAACCACAUGAUGGGAUGCUCUAAGGGUUACCAAGGAAGACCCGAGGCUUGGGAGAGGUUGAGUUCAAGUUUACCUUAAGGUAGUACCUAGGGUCCCUUAAGGUAGUACCUCAAGGCCACUAAGGUAGUACCUAAGGGCCCUUAAGGUAGUACCUAAGCUACAAUCCCAAAAAACCCUUAGUGGACCACUUGUGGAAUGAAGAGAACCACAUAAUGGGAUGGUCCAAGGGUCACAAAGGAAGGCCCAAGGCUUGGGAGAGGUUGAGUUCAAGUUUACCUUAUGGUAGUACCUAGGGUCCCUUAAGGUAGUACCUCAAGGCCACCGAGGUAGUACCUAAGGGCCCUUAAGGUAGUACCUAAGCU
rnacentral:lncRNA from 1 species